CGCGUAGGGGUUUACACUGACGUUCGUUAUCGACGGGUAACGGAAUCCUGGUGAAAUUCCAGAACGGUCGCGCCACUGUCAAAGUCAGACCUGAGCUCGUCAUCCCCCAUGGGGCCGCGCAAUCCCCAGAAGGAGUCGACCGUGACCAAUCCCCUCAAGACCGCGGGCCGCACCCGGCCGGUAGACCUGUCGGCGGCAAGCUCGGCGC
rnacentral:ncRNA from 1 species